rnacentral:lncRNA from 10 species
AUGCAUUUGACAACUAUAGCAAAAAGGAUGAAAAGGUAUUCAGCAGCAUUACUCAGUCAACAUGUCCUGACGGUGUGUGGAGUGACCUUCUAGAUUUUGUGGGGAGUGAUGAUGGCAAUAUUUCCUGGAGAAGCACGCUCAAUAAAGGAGAAAUGGGAUUAACACAACUGUGACAAAACUGCACUAAGUGAUUGGAAAGUAGGAAGCAUGUGGGCAAAUGAAUAGGCUACUGGCCUGAUUAAACCAGGAAAUCUCAAGCAGCACUGGAGUUCUGAAAGAAUUAAGGGGUGUGGCUGGUGGAAAGCUGACAAAACUCCCUCAGAGGGGGCAAUAGCAUGGAUAUGAAAUAGAAAUCAGCUAAAAAUAUUUAUUGUGUCCAUUGUACUAUAUACCAGUCAUUAAAAACAUGUGAAAUAGAGACAUUUUUAUAAGCUUGUAGGAGAACAUUAUAUGCUUUCAUGGAAGAAAGACAACGUAUUAUAGUCAUUCAAAAAUGGAUGUCAAGUAAUAUAGUGAAUAUAGAUACCCAAUUGCAGAGGUAAAGCUCAGUUGUGUAGAAAGAGCUUUAGAGUUGGGUCAGGUGAAAGAGAUAAAGGGAGAAAUGCUCUAUGAUAUGACUUAUAGAUGAAGUCUGGGGAUAACAGAAAUAUUCUAGGAACGGGAUGAUGGUGAAUAUAUUGCUGCUCGUGAAGACAAUUCUAAUAAAAAAAUGCGUGGCUUGGAAAACAUACUUGCUUAGUUAGAUGGCUUGUUUGGGCUAUGAUGAUAAAUUAGGUGGAUUCGUUAGGUAAUACACUUGACUUUAUAAAUAACCAACUGUAAAAUCUAAACAUUUACAUAAAUUUAUCAUGACUGUCUUAACAUGUGUUGUGUGCUUCUGAGUUUUCCGCUUCUCUUCCAUUUUGCCAAAUGAAAAAUCUGUCUCAAAUCCAAUUCUCCUACCGCUCUCUAAAGUGUUUGACCCUACAGCAGUCUUCUGGUUCUUCAACUAUGUCCUCUCUUUGGUUCUAUGACAUUAUAUCACCCUGGAGCUUACAUAGGCUGAUUAUUCUUUCCUGUCUUCCUUCAUUGAUUCCAUUUGCAGUUUAUGAGCCCCGAAAUUUGGGCAUAGGUCCCCAUAUUCAUCUCAACUUUCUUUUAUCAAUGUAUACUGUCAUGGUGGCACUAAUUCACUAAUUUUCUUUUUUCUUUUCUUUUCUUUCUCUUUUUUUUUUUUUUUUUUUUUUUUUUUUUUGAGACAGGGUCGCACUCUUGUUGCCCAGGCUGGAGUGCAGUGGCACAAUCUCAGCUCACUGCAACCUCUGCCUCCCAGGUUCAAGCAAUUCUCGUGCCUCAGACUCCUGAGUAGAUGGGAUUACGGGUGCACACCAUCACGCACGGGUAAUUUUUGUAUUUUUAGUAGAGACGGGGUUUCACCAUGUUAGCCAGGCUGGUCUCGACCUGCGGCACUAAUUUUCUGUCAAAACAGAGACCUCUCAAACUAGUUAUAUUUCUAGAUAAAUUUUAGAUAUUCCAGAAGAUCCAGAAUCAACUCUAAUACAACACAUCCUAAAUCAAAUUCAUUCUCCCCUAAUCAUCUUCCUUUCGAUCUUUCAUAUUUGUCAAUGACACUCCAUAAGCAGGUAUGCUGAAAGCACUCGUUCUUUUUUGUUCUCGCUCCAUCUCAUAUCAAUGCGAUAAAUCACCAUGUUUUAUCUUUCUUUUUUUUUUUUUUUUUUUUUUUUUUGAGACAGAGUCUCGCUCUGUCUCCAUGCUGGAGUGUAGUGGCGCAAUCUGGGCUCACUGCAACCCCCGCCUCCCGGUUCAAGCGAUUCUCCUGCCUCAGCCUCCUGAGUAGCUGGGACUACAGGCGUGCACCCACCAUGCCCAGCUAAUUUUUGUAUUUUUAGUAGAGACGGGAUUUCACCUUGUUGGCCAGGAUGGUCUUGAUCUCUUGACCUUGUGAUCCAUCUGCCUCGGCCUCCCAAAGUGCUGGGAUUACAGGUGUGAGCCACCGCACCCGACCUAUGUUUUAUCUUUCUAUCUUUGAAAUAUGUCAUUUCUGUCAUUGUUCUAAAUGUUUUAUUAUGCAUUAUUUGAUAAUAGAAAAAUAUAUAUUCUAACAGAUAUAUCCUAUACAUG